AGAGUUUGAUCAUGGCUCAGAAUCAACGCUGGCGGCGCGCUUAACACAUGCAAGUCGCACGAGAAAGUGGAGCAAUCCAUGAGUACAGUGGCGUACGGGUGAGUAACACGUGGAUCAUCUACCUUCUAGUGGGGAAUACCUCCGGGAAACUGGAGACAAUACCGCAUAAGCUCGUAAGAGGAAAGCAGCAAUGCGCUGGAAGAGGAGUCCGCGGCUGAUUAGCUAGUUGGCGGGGUAACGGCCCACCAAGGCGAAGAUCGGUAGCCGGCCUGAGAGGGCACACGGCCACACUGGCACUGAAACACGGGCCAGACUCCUACGGGAGGCAGCAGUGGGGAAUCUUGCACAAUGGAGGAAACUCUGAUGCAGCGACGCCGCGUGAGCGAUGAAGCCCUUCGGGGUGUAAAGCUCUUUCGACGGGAACGAUAAUGACGGUACCCGAAGAAGAAGCUGCGGCUAACUACGUGCCAGCAGCCGCGGUAAUACGUAGGCAGCAAGCGUUGUUCGGAAUUACUGGGCGUAAAGAGUGUGUAGGCGGUGUUCUAAGUUUGUCGUGAAAUCUCCCGGCUUAACUGGGAGGGUGCGGCGAAAACUGGAAUGCCAGAGGAUGGGAGAGGUAAGCGGAAUUCCUGGUGCAGCGGUGAAAUGCGUAGAUAUCAGGAGGAACACCUGUGGUGUAGACAGCUUACUGGACCAUUUCUGACGCUGAGACACGAAAGCGUGGGUAGCAAACAGGAUUAGAUACCCUAGUAGUCC
rnacentral:rRNA from 1 species